ACGAACGCUGGCGGCGUGCCUAAUACCUGCAAGUAGAACGCUGAAGAGAGGAGCUUGCUCUUCUUGGAUGAGUUGCGAACGGGUGAGUAACGCGUAGGUAACCUGCCUUGUAGCGGGGGAUAACUAUUGGAAACGAUAGCUAAUACCGCAUAGCAAUGGAUGACACAUGUCAUUUAUUUGAAAGGGGCAAUUGCUCCACUACAAGAUGGACCUGCGUUGUAUUAGCUAGUAGGUGAGGUAAUGGCUCACCUAGGCGACGAUACAUAGCCGACCUGAGAGGGUGGACGGCCACACUGGGACUGAGACACGGCCCAGACUCCUACGGGAGGCAGCAGUAGGGAAUCUUCGGCAAUGGGGGCAACCCUGACCGAGCAACGCCGCGUGAGUGAAGAAGGGUUUCGGAUCGUAAAGCUCUGUUGUAAGUCAAGAACGGGUGUGAGAGUGGAAAGUUCACACUGUGACGGUAGCUUACCAGAAAGGGACGGCUAACUACGUG
rnacentral:rRNA from 1 species